UGAGCUGAAGGCAGAGGCCCAACCCUCUGAGCCACCCAGCUCUGUCCUAAUUCGAGGGGAAAAUAUAUCACAAGCCUACAACCUUUGAAGUGUCCCUUUUUUCUCCUGCAUUUCCCCCUCAUUCUCUGCCUCAAGACAAUUUCUUACAUCCUGGCAGCACCACUUAGGCUAGUAACACCCGAGUCAAAUAGUUCUCUCUCUGUCGGGAAAGGAAGUGAGGCCCUAGCUUGAACUGCCACUCUUCGAAAUAUGUCACUGCCUCUGCCUUUUGCAAGAUUGCAAUGGUUGGCAAAAUGAAUGACCUCAUCUCCCUGGCUCAAGUUAUCAGCUUGCCCAAUCUCUGGAACUUUCUAUGACUCAG